CGGGGAGUAGCGCAGCUGGCUAGCGCACUUGCUUUGGGAGCAAGGGGUCCAGGGUUCGAAUCCCUGCUCCCCGACCA
rnacentral:tRNA from 1 species